ensembl:lncRNA
AGUUCUGAAGGUUUCAGAGGGGUCUUUUCCUUGUGGAGACACUGGAGGAGAAUCAUUUUGUUGACUCCCAGCUUCUGGAGGCUUCCUUCAUUCCAUGGCUCAGGGACCCUUCCUUCAUCUUGAAAACUGAGGCACCUUUUUCCUACGGCGUCACUCUGACACUCCUCUUCUGUCGUCAUGUCGCCCUUGGCUUCCCUCUUGUAAGGACACUUGCGGUUACAUUGGGCCCACCUGGAUGAUCCAGGACGAUCCGCCCCCCAUCUCAAGAUCCUGAACUUAAUCGCGUCUGCAGUAUCCUUUUUGUCAUGUGGCAGCAGGCCCUGGACUUCUGUACUGCACACAGCCCUGAGGCUGGAUGGCAGAGAAACAAGAAAAUGGACUCCUUCCUCCUGGAGACAAGAAUGCCAGCCACCAGCCAUGGCUUUGCCGGGAGAGGACCAACUACAUUUAGAACUCAAUAUUAACCAGUUUUUUUUAGUGAAAUAAAAUUUUGUGUUUGUUUUUGUUUUGCCUCUUUAGGGCCACACCCGUGGCAUAUGGAGGUUCCCAGACUAGGGGUCCAAUCGGAGCUGUAGUUGCUGGCCUACACCACAGCCACAGCAGCUAGGGAUCUGAGCCGUGUCUGCGACCUGCACCACAGCUCGUGGCAACGCCAGAUCCUUAACCCACUGAGCGAGGCCAGGGAUCAAACCCUAAACCUCAUGGUUCCUAGUCGGCUUCGUUAACCACUGAGCCACGACGGGAAUUCCACCUAAAAUUUGUUUUUAAGAUUAGAAAAGAUAUACUGGAGUAUUACAUUAAAAUGUUUAAAUUUUGGUUGGAGCGCCUCCACCUUGACACAAAUGAGCCUUUUACCAUCACUCUCCUCUCCUCUAGGAAGGGGGAGGCCUGGUUCUGUCUCCCUCCUCACCUGACAGCUGAGGCCCUAACCUGGUCACCCUUGCUUGACCUUUCUGGUCUCAACCUGUAGAAUUUGUCUAGUCAUGGCAUUCUUGCCCAAAGAGAAGGAGAAAGAGAAAAGUGACUUCCUGGGGUCUUCCCCGUCCUGGAGGGCUCCGAUUCCGUGGACAGACUCCACAGAAUGUGCUUCAGGGGAUUAGGAUUCUAUCUUCACUCAUGUCCAGGGGGUUGUGAUCUGUAUUUGUAUUUUUGGCCCCUCCCUCCCUUUUCUGCUUUCAGAACAUUUUUGCAAGUGUCCCUAAUACUUUAUAGAGUAACUCUAUAUGUCACAGUGGUGAAGAGCUUAGAAAAAGCUCUGAGAGCCACCGAGAGAGCCAGAUCCACCUUUACUAACCAUGUGACUGUGGGCAUGUCCCCUAACUUCCCUGUUCCUCCACACUUUUCUGAAAAUUGGAUGAAAAUAGUACCUCCCUUCCUCAAAUGAUACUCUGAGGAUGAAUGCGAUGAUGCAUCUAGCGUAGGGCUGGCUCAGAGUAAGACUUCAGGGACUGUCAGCUAUGAUGAUGAUUAUGUAAUUAUUCCCAUUUAACAGGAAGGACAGUCUAGACCAGGGAGGUCAAGUGACUUACUUGAGGUCAUGUGGAGAGUUAGAGGCAAAGCCAGAAAUAGGAACCAUGGCUCAUGGAAUCCCAGGCCAGUGUUCUCUCCCCAGGAUUCUUGUUGGUCUCCAGGAAAAAAAGUUAAAUAUACAGAAACAGUUCUGAGUCUAAUCCUUUGGCAGCUGGUCCUGGCAAUGGCAGAGGCUUGGAGAUUAGGGCUUCCUCAGCACACAGGACCCUCAGUCCAGGGCCUUAAGAGUCCUCAGGGAGGGACACUUGUGGUAGCAGAAGCAGGGAACUUCCUUCCUUGUGUUCUGAGAGGCAGAGUAGGGCUGGGCGUGGUAUGCCUCCAGCGCUCCUCUUCUGCAGGCCCACCCCUUGACUGCUGCUGGCCAGAUCCCUCUUCACACCCUGCCCCCUCCCGGGACCCCAGAGACUGCCCUUGGAGUGGGGAGGGCAGUGGGGCAACCACCCAGGUGGCAAGUGGGUACUCUAGAACUCUCUGUCCCUGAGCAGAGCUGAGCCCUCACUCUGCCGCAGGAGUCUGUAGCUCAGGCCUGCAAACUGGAUAUGGGAGGGGUCUCCCUAAGACCCCUUGGAAAAAGGAAGCCCAAUUUUUGCCCUGUGGGGGAGGGGUUGCAGAUGCCCUUUCCAGCUGCCCUAUUCAUCCUGUUGCCUGAGGACCGCUCCCCUGGAAGAUACACAGUAGUGGCCCUUGCCCCUAGCGACGUAGAUUUAAAGAUUACCCUAUCAGGUUUUUCCGGAACAUGGACAGCUCCUACAGUUUUGCUUCGGUCUGCCGUCAGGCCAGGGUUUGAAUCCCAGCUCUGCUUCUUUGCGUAUGUACACAAGUGAGUGGGGAUGUUCUUGGGAAAUUAUUUAACUUCUUCACCUCUCAGUUUCUACCUCUGUAAAAUGGGAACAGGAAUACCUGCCUCACAGAUUUGCAGUUUGAAUUAAAUAAAAAUAACCUACAUGGACUGCUUAGCAUGUGCCUGGCCCAUGGCAGGUAUUUUUAUCAUCCUUGUCAUUAAGUGUAUCAGUGGGCUCCACCAGUCUGUGGGUGGAAACAGCUUUCACGUGUGGCUCAGCCUCAUGUAGGCUGUGCAUCUGCCAUGACUCAGGAGCCUAGAAUGACUGAACCAAAGAGCUCAAACCUGUCUUUGCUGUACUGUUAUUUGCAAUCGUUUCUGUUCUCCAGGGUGGGGAAUCAAAUUUCUGUUGAUGUAUGUAAUGCCAUGCCAUUUAUUUCCCUGUUUCUUUUCUGCUUAGUUGUUCUUGAAAGUAUUGUUCUAUAAAUGUAUUGGUUUUAUACUAAAAGUUUUACCUGUAUUAUCUUCUUAAAUUCAUGUGAACAACCAAAUAAAGAAAGAGGGUUUGU